rnacentral:miRNA from 10 species
CUAUUUCAGAACCCGCCGGUCCGCCCGUGUAUCCGUCGGGAGGGGAGGGAGGAGGGGACGGAGAGGCCGAGAGG